rnacentral:lncRNA from 1 species
UGGCUAUAGAACAGAUUGUUCAGGGUAAUAAAGGACCUUAUAAUGGAACAUUGUUAAUAAAGAUUCACCUUUUGGUAAAUAAGACUCAUGAUACUGGAUCUUAGCUUGAGCUUGAGCUUUGAAAGAUGAAAAGUAUAUUGUGUAUCAAGGAACGAUCUGCAGCAAUGCAGAGAGAACUUCUAAGACUUAGACAAUAUGUCAUAAAUCAGAGCCCAAUAAUAACUUACAGCUUAAAUUAUACAACUAAAAAGGUUAGACAAAUGCGAGAAAGACAUCUAGUAUGCCAGCUAGCAUGAGAAGUAUCCCAAAUAUAGAUAACCCAUGUUGUAAGCUUACCACAAUGAGAAUACAUUCCCAAGAGAGAAAACGUGAGACGGGCAGAACUCCAAUCCACUUCCCACUUUCCAAUACAGAAUUAUUGAAAAACUCAAGUUUAAAAAGUAAAAAUACAAAGAAAUUCUAAUGAGGGUUGGAGAUACAGAGAUGGUGAGUAAAUGUCCUACUCUCAGAAAAUGUUGAUAAGAGCAAAUUUUUAAGUAAAAGUCUAGUAUCUAUCCAAGACUCAAGUUUGGCCAAACCAUGGAAGUCAUCUCUAAGACACACUAAAAAUUGAGAGGUUAUAUAUGUAGAUUAUAACAACUUAAUAACAUGAUCUAACUUGAAAUCCCAUAUGCUGAUAAACGAGAACCUAGAAUUCACACAAUUUUCUCUUCUUUUUUGUGUGUAUGUGCAAGACAACAUUGAGUGUUCAAUCAGUAACAUACAAAGUUCACCAAUAACACCAUGUAGUUUGACAAGAACUUGAAAGAAGCUGAAACACGUCAUAACUUAAAAUUAAUGAAUUCCAGGAACGGAAAGUAAUAGUUACUUCAAGACAGAAGAAAGGCCCAAGGAUAGUGCAAGAAUAUAGCCAUCAUAGUCUCUUGAACCUGUUGAUAAAGAGUACAAAAGAGUACGAACACCAGUCACAAAGGGUUAUUCAACCAUAAGAAUGUUAUAAAAGAUCCAAUUAACAGUCAUGAAGACAUCUGGCACACUUGUCAAAUAAGUAGUUAAUUGAUCUACCCUAAAAUGAGUUUGAUGAUAUACAACAUUAAAGCUAAACAUUG